GCAAACUUGGUCAUUUAGAGGAAGUAAAAGUCGUAACAAGGUAACCGUAGGUGAACCUGCGGUUGGAUCAUUACCAAUUAUUCCUUUUUUCGCAACUUUCUGCAAAUGCGCCGCUUUUGCUGUUGCUGUUGCUCGAUCGCUUUGAUUUGAGUUUGGCAUAUGUAAGAGAGGAGCAGGAGGAAAAAGUUCGCGAAGGAAGCGGAACCAAUUUGUGAACCUGUAAUUGUGCAUUGGCGGCUGUCCAGUGCCUUGUGCUGGAUGCGCAUUCAGUUGCGAAGGCCGUCAAUUUACCUGCUAAACACAAUCUAUUUUCUAUUUAAUUUUUUUCUUCUUUCUUUUUUUAUUAAGAAACCAAGAACAACUAUUAACAAUGGAUCUCUUGGCUCUCGCAUCGAUGAAGAACGCAGC
rnacentral:misc_RNA from 1 species